CCCUUAAUACAUGCAAGUCGAGCGGAACCAGAGGAGCUUGCUCCUUCUGGUUUAGCGGCGGACGGGUGAGUAACACGUGGGCAACCUGCCCUGCAGAUCGGGAUAACUCCGGGAAACCGGUGCUAAUACCGAAUAGUUUGCGGCCUCUCCUGAGGCUGCACGGAAAGACGGUCUCGGCUGUCACUGCAGGAUGGGCCCGCGGCGCAUUAGCUAGUUGGUGGGGUAAUGGCCUACCAAGGCGACGAUGCGUAGCCGACCUGAGAGGGUGAUCGGCCACACUGGGACUGAGACACGGCCCAGACUCCUACGGGAGGCAGCAGUAGGGAAUCUUCCGCAAUGGACGAAAGUCUGACGGAGCAACGCCGCGUGAGUGACGAAGGUUUUCGGAUCGUAAAACUCUGUUGUGAGGGAAGAACAAGUGCCAACUAACUACUGGCACCUUGACGGUACCUCACCAGAAAGCCACGGCUAACUACGUGCCAGCAGCCGCGGUAAUACGUAGGUGGCAAGCGUUGUCCGGAAUUAUUGGGCGUAAAGCGCGCGCAGGCGGUUCUUUAAGUCUGAUGUGAAAGCCCACGGCUCAACCGUGGAGGGUCAUUGGAAACUGGAGAACUUGAGUACAGAAGWGGAAAGUGGAAUUCCAUGUGUAGCGGUGAAAUGCGUAGAGAUGUGGAGGAACACCAGUGGCGAAGGCGACUUUCUGGUCUGUAACUGACGCUGAGGCGCGAAAGCGUGGGAGCAAACAGGAUUAGAUACCCYGGUAGUCCACGCCGYAAACGAUGAGUGCUASUGUUUAUGGGGUUCYSCCCUUWAUAGSUGCASCUAACGCAUUAGMCUCCSCUGGGGAGWACGRCSCAAGCUGAAMUCAAGGAAUUGACGRGCCGCCACGAGGACAUKGUGAUCAGCACGGAGAACUACAGCUUGAGU
rnacentral:rRNA from 2 species